GGGGCUGGGCGCGGGCA
rnacentral:miRNA from 1 species